rnacentral:lncRNA from 1 species
AUAGAGGUGGGCCGUUGGCGACGUUAGAGGCGCGGGUGUUCGGCUACAUCACUGGGGCGCCAUGGUGCCUGGAGCUGGGCAGUUUUCUCAUCAGAGUGGGGACUGGUAAGAGUGACCUCCCCGCCAGGUUCUGUGUGUUGCCGGCUGAAGAAGGGUAGCUGAAAAAUUCAGACCCAGCACAGUGUUUAUGUUGGUCAAAAAUAGAAAACUAUGUCUGGCGCGGCCGAGGCGGGAGGACCCUUCAGGCCAAGAGCAGCCUAGCAACAUGGCGCAACCCCAUCUCUGUAGUCCUACCUCAGCCCCCCAGCUACUUGAACCCAAAGGUUCAAGGCUCCAGUGAGCUAUGAUCCCACCACAGCAUUCCAGCCUGCGAGAUUGAGAUGAUGAUUAUUCCCCACCUUCUAAGAGACAAAGACCAACGAGCCACCACAGCCACCAGUCCCAGAACCCGCCAAUGCUGGGGAACGGAAAAUGAGGGAGUUCAACUCUGGCCCUCACAAUCCAGUGGAGGAGACGCAACUCAUCUGCCUCUGUCCCUCUGGGCACGCCUCAUGCCAGGUGCAUCUGUGGACAGGGGCCAUGCUCCUGGGCUUCCAAAGUUGGAGAAAGCUGCCAGGCUCAGGUCUGAAGGCCAGAAUUCUACAGUAAGUCCUACUGAGUCAAGGUGGGAGCAGGGUCGGUAGCUUCCGAGGCUCUGCGGGAGAAUCUGUUUCCUGGCCGUAGAGGUGGCCUGCACUCCUCAGCCUGUGCUGCCCGUCUCGAAUGACUGGAGUUUCCUGCUUCUGUCACUACACCUCCCACCCUCUCCAUCACCUGCUCUGCUCUUACAAGGAUCCGAAGAAAUGGAAUCAUCGUAUCGCUGAUCUACGUAAACAAACUGAAGAAUUGUCUGAAAGAAAAUAUGACAUGAACUUAUGAAUUCAACAGGUGAAGAUUUACAACUUGAUAAAUCAACUUUGUCAGCUCGAGCUGUAAAAGCCAAAGGUCCGGUGAUGAUCCCAUACCCUUUUUUCCAGUCUCAUGUUGAAGAUUUUUAUGUAGAAGGCCUUCCCAAAGGAAUUUUUUUUUUUUUUUUUUGAGAUGGAGUUUUCACUCUUAUCGCCCAGGCUGGGGUGCAAUGGCGCAACCUUGCUGGUCACUGCAACCUCUGCCUCCUGGGUUCAAGAAAUUCUCCUGCCUUAGCCUCCCAAGUCACUGGGAUUACAGGUGCCCACCACCACACCAGGCUAAUUUUUGUAUUUUUAGUGGAGAUGCGGUUUCACCAUGUUGGCCGGGCCAGUCUCGAACUCCUGACGUCAAGUGAUCUUCCCGCCUCGACUCCUGAUAUCAAGUGAUCUUCCCGCCUCGGCCUCCCAGAGUGCUGAGAUUACAGACGUGAACCCAUGCCUGGCCAGGAAUUUUGUUUUUUAGGAAGGCUUUCUACUAAUGGAAUUCCUGGCCUUGAGAGGAUGUUACUUUAGAAGGAAAGGAUUUUUUUGUUAUUAAAAGAGCCACCUAAGCUGAAGAUUCCCUUGAGAACAAGUACUGUCCCUAGUUUCCCAGUGCUGGAAUAUAGAAAAUGGAUGGACAAGUAAAUCCCACUCAGCACCCAUAGUCCAGGCAUGGGGACCUCAACACACCUGAGCCCCAGACAUCACCUUUCAUUCUGGACCUACCAUGAAAGACUUCUGAAUCCAGGAAGAGAAACUGACUGGGCAACAUGUUAUUCAGAAACAGGACCUUGCCCUGUCACUCAGGAUGGAGUUCAGUGGUCCUAUCAUGGCUCAUUAUAGCCUCAAACUCCCAGGCUCAAGCAAUCCUACCAUGUCAGCCUUCCCAGUAGCUGGGACUACAGGCUGGAGUACAGUGGCACAACCUCUGCUCACUGCAGCCUCCACCUGCCAGGCUCAAGCAAUUCUCCUGCCUCAGCCUCCCGAGUAGCUGGGAUUACAGGAAGUGAGCUCACAAUGACUCAAGCUGCCACAUACUGUUGAUUGUGAAAUGCCAGUUGAAGCAUAUGUCCUGCGAGCUUGGGGGUGCUACAAGUUGACCACUGCAGCAGUAAAGAUGACUCUGAAGAAUGGCGUGGGAUGGUUCCUUUCAAAUGCACUUGAGCAGCGGUCUCCAACCACAGGGCCACAGAGCUGGAGCUGGAUCUACCAUGAAAGACUUGUGAAUCCAGGAAGAGAGACUGACUGGGCAACAUGUUAUUCAGGUACAAAAAGAUUUGGACUGUAACUUAAAAAUGAUCAAAUUAUGUUUCCCAUGCAUCAGGUGCAAUGGGAAGCUCUUCUGGAGAGUGAGAGAAGCUUCCAGUUAAGGGUCUCCCUCUGUUGUCCAAGGCUGGAGUGUAGUAGUGCUAUCGCAGCUGACUGCAGCCUCAACCUUCCAGGCUGAAGCGAUCCUCCCACCUCAACCUCCCACGUGGCUGAGACUACAGGUGCUUGCCACUAUGCCCAACUAACAUUUGGAAUUUUCGUAUACGUGGAUUCCAGAGGGGUGACAGCGAAACGUGGGACCAUCCAGUUGCAGGAAAACAAGCUUAACACGCCCACUGAUUCUACAUUAUGCUCCUACCUCCCGGCAGCCUCUCCAGGCCCAGAACUUUCUCCAGUCAGCCUCUACAGACCAAGCUCAUGACUCACAAUGGCCUAUUUAGGCCCAUACCCUAUGUCACGGCAGCCUCCGCAGAUGAGGCUACUGCCUCACAACAGCCUCCACAGGCACAGCUCCAUCGUUACAAUGGCCUCUUUAGACCCAGCUCCUGCCUCCCAGCCUUCUCUCCAGGCCCUGAACUUUCUCAAGUCGACCUCACCAGGCCCAGCUCAUGCUUCUUUGCAGCCUCUCCAGGCCCAGCUCCUGCAUCUUGGUGGCCCCUCCAGGCCCAGCCUCUGCCUCCCGUCAGCCUCUACAGUCCCAAAGUCUGCCUCACAGCAGAUUCUUCACGCCCAGCAUCUACCUCACUGUGGACCCCCCAAGCCAAGCUCCCAACCUUUCAGCAGCUUCUACACACCUAGCUCCUGCCACCCAGUGGCCUCUUUAGGCCAAGCUCAUGCUUCACAAGGGCCUUUCCAGGCCCAACUUUUGUCUCAUGGCAACCUUCCCUGGCCAGAUUCCUGCCUGUCUCCCAGCAGCCUAGACAGGCCCAGGUCUUGCCUCACACUGGCCUCUCUACAUCCAGCUUAUGCCUCACGGUGGCCUCUCCACGCCCAACUCCUGUCCCAGGACGUCAUCUCCGGGCCCAAAACUUACUCAAGUCAGACUCUCUAGUCCCAACUGCUGCCUCCUGGUGGCCUAUGAAGGCCCAAAAUCUCCUCAAGUUGACCUGUCCAGGCCCAGCUCCUGCCUCCUGUCAGCGUCUACAGGCCCAACCUCUGCCUCAUGGGGGCUUCUCCAGGCCCACCUCUUCCUCUUGGCUGGGUCUACAGGCACAACUGCUGCCUCACAACAGCCUUUUUUGGCCCAGUUCCUGUCCAGCUCAUGGCGGCCAAUGUAGGCCCAAAACUUCCUCAAGUCAAACUCUCCAGGCCCACCUUCUGCUUCCCGGUGGCAUCAACAGGCCCAGCUUUGACUUGAGAACAGCCUCUGCAGGCCCUGCUCUUGCCUCCCAGGGGCUUUUUCCAGGCCCAGCUCUUGCCUCAUGGCAGCUGCCCCAGGCCAAAUUUCUGCCUGCCUGCCAGCAGCCUCAACAGGCACAGCUCCUCCCUCACAGUGGCCCAUUUAGGCCCAACUCAUGACUGUGAGUCCAUUUCCAGGCCUAGUGCCUGCCUCGUGGCUGACUCUUGAAGCCCAAAACUUCCUCAAAUCAGGCUUUUGCCCAACUUCUGUCUACUGUCGGACUCUACAGGUCAGCCUCUGCCUCACAGUGGACCCUCCAGACCCAGAUGGUGUCUCACUGUGGCAUCCUCAGGCGAAGCUCCUGCCUUUCGGCAGCCUCUCCAGGCCCAGCUCCUCCUGCCUCCCAGUGGCCUCUUUCGGCCCAGCCCAGCUCAUGCCUCCCGGCGGCCUUCCCAAGCCCCGCUUUUGACUUUCGGUGGCCUCUGCAGGCCUCGACAAGGCCCAGCCUCCUGCCUCCCGAAGGCCUGCACAGGCCCAGCCUCUGCCUCACAGCGGACUCUCCACGCCCAGCUAGCUGUUGCUUCACUGCGGCCUCCCGAGUCCAAAGCUCCUGCCUCUCGGCCGCUUCGGCAGGCCCAGCUCCCGCCUGCCAGUGGCCUCUUCAGGCCCAUGGGGCUCAUUCCUGACAACAGCCUUUCCAGGCCCAGUUUUUCCCUUCCGGCGGCCUCUCCGGGCCCAGAACCUCCUCAAGUCGGCCUCUCCAGACCCACUUGCACCCUCCGGGCGUUCUCUCCGGGCCCAGCUCUUCUUCCUGGUUGGGUCUCCAGGCCCGAUUCCUGCCUCUCAACAACCUCUUUGGACUCAGUGCCUACCCAUCUCCUGGCGGCCUUGGUCGGCCCACAGCUUCCUCAAGCCAAGCUCCCCAGGCCCAGGUCAGGCCUCACGGUGGCCUCUCCAGGAUGAGCUCCUGCCCUCCGAUGGCAUCUCCAGGCCCCAAAUGGUCUCCGGUCGGUGGGCUCCUCCACGCCAAGGUUGGGCCUCCCGGCGACCGCCGCAGGCCCAAGUUGUCCUGAAGUCAGGCUCUCCCGGCCCUGCCUCCCAGCAAGUAAGCAAGCUCUUUUGGCUCAACUCCUGCCCAGCUCCCAACCGCCUUUGUAGGCCCCGAACUUUCUCCAGCCAAGCUCUGAGGGCCCACCUCCUGCCUCCUGGUGGCCUGUACAGUUCUAGCACUGGUUGGAGAACAGCCUCUGCAGGCCCCUCCCUUGCCUCCCAGGGGCCUCUCCAGGCCCAGCUCUUGCCCCCACGGCGGCCUCCCGGGGCCAAGUCCCUGCCUGCCUCCCAGCAGCCCGCGUGCGGCCCAGCUCCUCCCUCACGGUGGCCUGUUGAUGCCCAACUCAUGCCUCUGGCACCCUGCCCAGAGGCGUGAGCCCCUGCCUCACACUGGCUCCUCCCACGCUGAGAGAGGUCAGUGUGAGCCCUUGCCUCACACCGGCCCCUCCCACGCGGACAGAGGUCAGCGUGAGCCCCUUGUCUCACACCGGCCCCUCCCACGCUGAGAGAGGUCAAUGUGAGCCCUUGCCUCACACCGGCCCCUCCCACGCGGACAGAGGUCAGCGUGAUCCCCUGCCUCAACAGGCCACCGUGAGGGAGGAACAGGAUCGCACUCGGGCUGCUGGGAGGUAGGCAGGGACUUGGGCCUGGGAGGUCGCGGUGGGGCGAGAGCUGGGCCUGGAGACUCCCCUGGGAGGCAACAGCGGGGUCUGCAGACGCCCUUCUCCAGCCGGAGCUGGGACUGUUCAGUCACUGGGAGAAGGGAUGUGGGUCUGAAGAGCUUGGUUGCAGAAACUUCGGGGUCUACAAACGCAGGCGGGAGCUGAGCCAAAAGAGCUUGUUUGCUGGGAGGUGGGAGAUGCAGCCAGGAGGAACAGCUGGGCAAUGCGGGAGGCAGAGGCCAGGCCUCCUCAAGUUGGCCUCUCAGACCCACUUGCAGCCUCCCGGCGCCCCCUCCGGGCCCAGCUCUUCCUCCCGGCUGCAUCUCCAGGCCGGACUCUGGCCCGACUCCAGGUCCCAACAACGUCUUUGGACUCAGCUCCUGCCCAGCUCCCAGCGGCCCUGGUAGGCCCACAACUUCCCUAAGCCAAGCUCCCCAGGCCCAGCUCAGGCCUCGCGGUGGCCUCUCCAGGCUCAGCUCCUGGCCCUCCGAUGACAUCUGCAGGCCCCAAAUGGCCUCCGGUCGGUGGGCUCCUCUAGGCCCAGCUUGGGCCUCCCGGCGGCCUCUGCAGGCCCAAAUCGUCCCGAAGUCAGUCUCUCCAGGCUUAGCUCCAGCCUCCCGGCGGCCUCUGCAGGCCCAAGUCGUCCUCAAGUCGGCCUGGAAGUGGGCCUGGAAGAGCAGCAAGUCGGCCUCCCUGGGCCCAGCUCCGUCCUCUCGACGGCCUCUCCAGGUGCAAAACUUCCUCGAGUCAGCCUCUCCAGGCCCAGCUCCUCCUGCCUCCCAGUGGCCUCUUUCGGCCCAGCCCAGCUCAUGGCUCUCGGCGGCCUUCCCAGGCCCCGCUUUUGACUUUUGGCAGCCUCUUCAGGCGCAGAACUUGAUCUCCAGUCGGCCUUUGCAGGCCCGGCCUCCUGCCUCUCGAAGGCCUGCACGGGCCCGGCCUCGGCCUCGGCCUCACAGCAGACUCUCCACGCCCAGCUAGCUCUCGCCUCACUGCGGCCUCCCCAGUCCAAAGCUCCUGCCUUUCGGCCACUUCGGCAGGUCCAGCUCCUGCCUGCCAGUGGCCUCUUUAGGCCCAGCUCAUUCCUCACGUCGGCCAUUCCAGGCCCCGUUUUUCCCUUCCGGCAGCCUCUUGGCCUCUAAUUUGUUUAUCUUUUGUGUAUAAAUCCCAAAAUAUUGAAUUUUGGAAUAUUUCCACCAUUAUGUAAAUAUUUUGAUAGGUAA